GGGAACAAGGGCAUCCUUUCUUUGGUCAAGAGGAAAUGAAAUUUGCAAGUUCAUUAUAACAUGCUUGUCUCAGGAACAUAUUUUAGUGUGAAAUCAAAGGUAGUUGAGUAGCAGUUGUGGUAUAUGGUAAAAAACAAUAAAUCUGAGUUGGAAAAUUAAACAAAAGAAUGAAAAUUUUCUCCUAUUAUUUUAUGUCAUUUAUAUGAUAGAUUAGAAUGUAUUUUCAUUGUGCAUGGUAACGAAGUGUUUUUGUAUUACACAUCAUUGAGUAACG
rnacentral:misc_RNA from 1 species